rnacentral:lncRNA from 1 species
GUCAUACCAACACAGGGGAGAGAGUACGGCCCCACUCAGGAGGCCGCGAGGUGUCAGUGUUAACGCAAUAGGGUGUCAGGGUUAACCAAUAGGGUUGUCAGUGCAUAAGUCAUGACCAACACAGGGGAGAGAGCACUGCCCCACUCAGGAGGCCCGAGGGUGUCAGUGUUAAACCAAUAGGGUUCAGUGUUAACCAAUAGGGUGGCAGUGCAAUAAGUCAUACAACACAGGGGAGAGA